UCUGAUUCGUCUUGGCAAAACAUGAAAAAACGAGCUUCUGCUGAUGUUUUGGGCUUUAUUAAUGGGCUUUUAUAAUGCUUUGGGCUUCUUUAGGAGGAAAUGGCCGGAACAGUUAAACACCAAAAUAUUAAAUUUGGGUCAAAAAGCUUCAGGUGAAAGUUGAGCGGUGUUUGGGUGUAAAUAGAUGUUUAUUUGAUAAAUUUAAACUUCUUCAUAGAUAUCUAGUGUAAUUCUCCACAAUAAACAUGAAAAUUCAUCUUAACAAGUCCACAUAAAAGUCUACAAAACUUUUACCAAUCCUACACCAGAAACUUUGACUGCGUCCGCAACAACUUC